rnacentral:rRNA from 1 species
GAGAUCUACACUUCUAGCUUCGUCGGCAGCGUCAGAUGUGUAUAAGAGACAGGUGCAGAGGUAGGCGGAAUUCCCGGUGUAGCGGUGGAAUGCGUAGAUAUCGGGAGGAACACCAGUGGCGAAGGCGGCCUACUGGGCACCAACUGACGCUGAGGCUCGAAAGUGUGGGUAGCAAACAGGAUUAGAUACCCUGGUAGUCCACACCGUAAACGAUGAUUACUAGGUGUUGGAGGAUUGACCCCUUCAGUGCCGCAGUUAACACAAUAAGUAAUCCACCUGGGGAGUACGACCGCAAGGUUGAAACUCAAAGGAAUUGACGGGGGCCCGCACAAGCAGUGGAGUAUGUGGUUUAAUUCGACGCAACGCGAAGAACCUUACCAAGUCUUGACAUCCCUUGACGAUGCUGGAAACAGUAUUUCUCUUCGGAGCAAGGAGACAGGUGGUGCAUGGUUGUCGUCAGCUCGUGUCGUGAGAUGUUGGGUUAAGUCCCGCAACGAGCGCAACCCUUAUGGUCAGUUACUACGCAAGAGGACUCUGGCCAGACUGCCGUUGACAAAACGGAGGAAGGUGGGGAUGACGUCAAAUCAUCAUGCCCUUUAUGACUUGGGCUACACACGUACUACAAUGGCGUUAAACAAAGAGAAGCAAGACCGCGAGGUGGAGCAAAACUCAGAAACAACGUCCCAGUUCGGACUGCAGGCUGCAACUCGCCUGCACGAAGUCGGAAUUGCUAGUAAUCGUGGAUCAGCAUGCCACGGUGAAUACGUUCCCGGGCCUUGUACACACCGCCCGUCACACCAUGAGAGCCUGUCUCUUAUACACAUCUCCGAGCCCACGA